rnacentral:tRNA from 1 species
GAAUAGAAAUUUCCUUAGAAAAUAUAAAUUCUUCAGAAGAAUUUUCUAAUUAUUUGAAAUAUUUUAUAU